GAUGAACGCUGGCGGCGUGCUUAACACAUGCAAGUCGAACGGAAAGGCCCAAGCUUGCUUGGGUACUCGAGUGGCGAACGGGUGAGUAACACGUGGGUGAUCUGCCCUGCACUUCGGGAUAAGCCUGGGAAACUGGGUCUAAUACCGGAUAGGACCACAUUUUGGAUGGUGUGGUGGAAAGUUUUUCGGUGUGGGAUGAGCUCGCGGCCUAUCAGCUUGUUGGUGGGGUAAUGGCCUACCAAGGCGUCGACGGGUAGCCGGCCUGAGAGGGUGUACGGCCACAUUGAGACUGAGGUGCGGCCCAGACGCCUACGGGAGGCAGCAGUGGGGAAUAUUGCACAAUGGGCGCAAGCCUGAUGCAGCGACGCCUCGUGGGGGAUGACGGCCUUCGGGUUGUAAACUACUUUCGCGAGGGACGAAGCGUUAUGUGACGGUACCUGGAGAAGAAGCACCGGCUAACUACGUG
rnacentral:rRNA from 1 species